GCCACUAAUAACUACUUCAGGCGUGCUCAUGGUGUCUUGGCUCUUAAUGCUGUGGCUCAGGGCUCAGGGAGUGUCUUUACAGGUUCUGUGUUCGACAGCUUCCUGAGAAAAACAGGAUUUCUGCAUGGAAGGAGGAUGAGUACUCUGACAAACACCUGAAUUCUGCAGCAGCAGAGAAUGUCACCAUGAAUGUCCAUUGGCAAACUGGAUAAGAAAGAGUGUCACAGUGCAGGACAACCUAGAAGAUGACAGAUACUCGCAGGUCUUCUAUUAUGCAGCAAUAUUAGCAAGUAUCCACUCUGGACUGCAGCAACAUCUGAAUUUUCAGUUCUUGAGAACUUUCCUGCAUCUUCACAAAAAAUGAACAGAGGAUAUUUAUAAGAACAAUCUUCCAAUUAGCCCCCCUCAACAGCCUGUGCCUGGAGCCUUGUCCAUUUUAAUAUAUGCAGCAAAAAGUGCAAACUGAAGCUUAUUCAUCUUUAUUUUCUGA
rnacentral:lncRNA from 1 species